rnacentral:tRNA from 1 species
GCUUAGCUAGAUAGACGGUAAAGAAUCUGCCUGCAAUGCAGGAGACCCAGGUUCGAUCCCUGGGUCAGGCA